rnacentral:lncRNA from 1 species
CACCAUCAGUAAACAUGGCAAAUCCAGCCUGCUGUGCCACGAGGGUCCCUGCCACCUGGGCGUGCCACCUGUCACCCACUCAGCGUGGCGGCCGGUUUCCAAGUCAUCACAUUGUAUUUACUACAAAUGCAGUCAUCAUCGGCCCAUGGAAACGCCGAGGGUCUCUAUGACUGAGCUUCACCGGAGCCCAGGUAUGUUCUUCCCGUUGCCGUCUGCCCCGUGCCGCCGCCGCCGUGCUGGCGUCCUGGGUGCGUGCUUCCCCGGCCAGCCCCGCGGAGUGACGAGACGCCGUGCUGACGAGAAUUCUGCAGAUCACUAAAGCUCACCAAUUCCAGCAGCAAAAAUCAAAUGCAUGCAGAACGUUUUGAGUUGAAUAGCUCUGAGACAGAUGACAUGCUUUCUUGCACACAAAAUACGAGAAACGUGAUUUCACCAUUCAUUGAUGAUGUCACUAAUAAUCGAUCGAAUCCCAUGAAGCCGUCACCCUUGGUAGCUCUGGAGUGGCGAGGCCGUUUUUCCGUGCACUGAAUGACGGAGACAUGGAACGAGUUCUGAGUGUCCGUGGGGUUUACCCUUCUUCUCUCGUGGCAAGCUGUUGGCAAUUUUUCUAAAGGUUUCAGAGUCAUAAUUUCCAGAUGUCCAGAGACCAGAAUCGGAGGUUCUCCUCGCUGGGGACUUGUGUCCGACCCACUCCGUACACUCUCGCUGUGAAAAUCGGUCUCUCGCUUGGCGAAGCCGCAGCCUCGGGUCUGGCAUUCGAUGCCUCAGAGAUCUCGCCCAGCAGCGGUGCUUUCGGCAGACGAAGGUGUCGGACGAGGGGGGGGCGGGACCACCGGCCUUGGAGAGACAGCCACGGCCACAGGCAAGAAGGACAGACAGACGCUAAACGCUCCCCUACUGAGCACCGAGGAGGAACGGAUGCAGCAGCAUGGAACGUUCCAGACUUCUCGCCCUUGGUUCCGGGUCCUGGCCCAAGAGAAGCUCGCGGUUCACAGAUGAUUCCCGCCCAAAUGUCACGAGCUUUGUCCGACGUUCCUUGGAGCAGUAAGAAACGGCUCGUCAAGAGCGAGUUCCUCCACGCAGCUCGCAGCCCUGGGCGUCCUCCCUGCAGGCUUCGGAUCAGCGCACCCCUCCCCUCCCCCGCACACCUCUUCUUUGCAUAAUCCCCGUAAAUCCCCUAAAUCAGAGACCCCUCUCUCCCAGUCUCAAGGAGGUGACAAGCCGAAGGAAUGAAUCUAAUGACAUAAAGUUGCUGGAAGCUACUCAGAUCCCAUGUCUGAGUUCUGCAGAGAAGGUGGGCCACCUCAUAACCCCUCUUACUACACCCAUAGCAUUUCCUUUCCCUGCGCCCCCAGUUCCUUGAGAUCCCCAAGGUCGUCUCAGGCGUUUCAGUCCUUAAAGCCCCUACAGUUCUCUUUGAACGUGGAAAAUGCCAAUGAGUGUUUACCAUUUUCCCUGGCCGUCUCUGACUCCCCCCUGCCGUGGCUGACCCGGCUCUGUCUCUGACUCCCCUCUGCCGUGGCUGACCCGGCUCCGUCUCUGACUCCCCCCUGCUGUGGCUGACCUGGCUCCGUCUCUGACUCCCCCCUGCCGUGGCUGACCCGGCUCCAUCUCUGACUCCCCUCUGCCGUGGCUGACCCGGCUCCGUCUCUGACUCCCCUCUGCCGUGGCUGACCCGGCUCUAUCUCUGACUCCCCUCUGCCGUGGCUGACCCGGCUCUAUCUCUGACUCCCCCCUGCCGUGGCUGACCCGGCUCUAUCUCUGACUCCCCUCUGCUGUGGCUAACCUGGCUCCGUCUCUGACUCCCCCCUGCCGUGGCUGACCCGGCUCCGCCUCUGAUUCCCCUCUGCCGUGGCUGACCCGGCUCCGUCUCUGACUCCCCCCUGCUGUGGCUGACCCGGCUCCGUCUCUGACUCCCCCCUGCCGUGGCUGACCUGGCUCCGUCUCUGACUCCCCUCUGCCGUGGCUGACCCGGCUCCGUCUCUGACUCCCCCCUGCUGUGGCUGAGCCCGCUGUCCACUGACAGACGCUGUUCUCUGCUCAGGAGGGAGAACCUCGGGAGUGAUCCCAGGUUCUCCGUGGGAGGCCAGGGCAGGAGAAGGGCUGCGGGUACUAUCGGGUUAACUCGGUGC